rnacentral:rRNA from 1 species
AUUGAACGCUGGCGGCAUGAUUUACACAUGCAAGUCGAACGGUAACAGGCCGCAAGGUGCUGACGAGUGGCGAACGGGUGGGUAAUGCAUCGGAACGUGCCCAGUCGUGGGGGAUAACUACUCGAAAGAGUAGCUAGUACCGCAUACGAUCUAUGGAUGAAAGCGGGGGACCGUAAGGCCUCGCGCGAUUGGAGCGGCCGAUGUCAGAUUAGGUAGUUGGUGGGGUAAAGGCUCACCAAGCCAACGAUCUGUAGCUGGUCUGAGAGGACGACCAGCCACACUGGGACUGAGACACGGCCCAGACUCCUACGGGAGGCAGCAGUGGGGAAUUUUGGACAAUGGGCGCAAGCCUGAUCCAGCAAUGCCGCGUGCAGGAAGAAGGCCUUCGGGUUGUAAACUGCUUUUGUACGGAACGAAACGGCUCCGGUUAAUACCCGGGGCUAAUGACGGUACCGUAAGAAUAAGCACCGGCUAACUACGUG